rnacentral:misc_RNA from 1 species
UCUCCGUUGGUGAACCAGCGGAGGGAUCAUUACAGGACUCGCAAGACUCCUACAACCCUGUGAACUUAACUAUAAGCACGUUGCUUCGGCGGGUGUCUCGGAGGGGGUUCUCCCUCCCCGAGACGCUAAACCCGCCGGCAGCCUACUAUACUCUAUCUCUUUGCGUUGGCAUCUCGAGUACAAUCAAACAAGUUAAAACUUUCAACAACGGAUCUCUUGGUUCUG